CGGUGUGAUCAUUCCAACGAUAAAGCAAUGGAUCUCAUCAGAACUCGGCAGUUAAGCGCGCUUGGGCUAGAGUAGUACUGGGAUGGGUGACCUCUCGGGAAUUCCUAGUGUUGCACCCU
rnacentral:rRNA from 1 species